UACGUAGGGGGCAAGCGUUGUCCGGAUUUAUUGGGCGUAAAGAGCGUGUAGGCGGCCUGAAAGGUCAGCUGUGAAAACUCGAGGCUCAACCUCGAGACGCCGGUUGAAACCAUCUGGCUAGAGUCCGGAAGAGGAGUGUGGAAUUCCCGGUGUAGCGGUGAAAUGCGCAGAUAUCGGGAAGAACACCCGUGGCGAAGGCGGCACUCUGGGACGGUACUGACGCUGAGACGCGAAAGCGUGGGGAGCGAACAGG
rnacentral:rRNA from 1 species